rnacentral:rRNA from 1 species
UACGGGGGGGGCAAGCGUUGUUCGGAAUUACUGGGCGUAAAGGGCUCGUAGGCGGCCAACUAAGUCGGACGUGAAAUCCCUCGGCUUAACCGGGGAACUGCGUCCGAUACUGGAUGGCUAGAGGUUGGGAGAGGGAUGCGGAAUUCCAGGUGUAGCGGUGAAAUGCGUAGAUAUCUGGAGGAACACCGGUGGCGAAGGCGGCAUCCUGGACCAAUUCUGACGCUGAGUGAGCGAAAGCCAGGGGAGCAAACGGG